rnacentral:rRNA from 1 species
CCGCGGUAAUACGUAGGGGGCUAGCGUUAUCCGGAUUUACUGGGCGUAAAGGGUGCGUAGGCGGUCUUUCAAGUCAGGAGUGAAAGGCUACGGCUCAACCGUAGUAAGCUCUUGAAACUGGGAGACUUGAGUGCAGGAGAGGAGAGUGGAAUUCCUAGUGUAGCGGUGAAAUGCGUAGAUAUUAGGAGGAACACCAGUUGCGAAGGCGGCUCGCUGGACUGUAACUGACGCUGAGGCACGAAAGCGUGGGGAGCAACCCGGAUUAGAUACCGUGGUAGUCCACGCCGUAAACGAGUAGUACCAGGAGUCGGGGGGUGCCCCCGUCGGGGCCGCAGCUGACGCAUUAAGUACUCCGCCUGGGAAGUACGCUCGCA